rnacentral:rRNA from 1 species
CCUACGGGAGGCAGCAGUAAGGAAUCUUCCGCAAUGGGCGAAAGCCUGACGGAGCAACGCCGCGUGGGCGAUGAAGGCCUUCGGGUCGUAAAGCCCUUUUCUGUGGGACGAUAAUGACGGUACCACAGGAAUAAGCCACGGCUAACUACGUGCCAGCAGCCGCGGUAAUACGUAGGUGGCUAGCGUUAUCCGGAAUCACUGGACGUAAAGGGCGUCUAGGCGGUCGGGUAAGAGAGACGUGAAAGCUCCUGGCUCAACUGGGAGAGGUCGUGUCAGACUGCCCGGCUUGAGGGUCGGAGAGGGACGUGGAAUUCCGGGUGUAGGGGUAAAAUGCGUAGAGAUCGGGAGGAACACCCGUGGCGUAGGCGGCGCCCGGGCCGACACCUGACGCUGAAGCGCGAAAGCGUGGGGAGCGAACGGGAUUAGAUACCCCUGGAGU